GACGAACGCUGGCGGCGUGCUUAACACAUGCAAGUCGAACGGAAAGGCCCUGCUUUUGUGGGGUGCUCGAGUGGCGAACGGGUGAGUAACAUGUGAGUAACCUGCCCUUGACUUUGGGAUAACUUCAGGAAACUGGGGCUAAUACCGGAUAGGAGCUCCUGCUGCAUGGUGGGGUUUGGAAAGUUUCGGCGGGUGGGGAUGGACUCGCGGCUUAUCAGCUUGUUGGGGGGGUAGUGGCUUACCAAGGCUUUGACGGGUAGCCGGCCUGAGCGGGUGACCGGCCACAUUGGGACUGAGAUACGGCCCAGACUCCUACGGGAGGCAGCAGUGGGGAAUAUUGCACAAUGGGCGGAAGCCUGAUGCAGCAACGCCGCGUGCGGGAUGACGGCCUUCGGGUUGUAAACCGCUUUCGCCUGUGACGAAGCGUGAGUGACGGUAAUGGGUAAAGAAGCACCGGCUAACUACGUG
rnacentral:rRNA from 1 species